GUUGUCGAUAUGACUGUAUCCAAUCUUUUUCUUUUUGUAGAAAGAAAUUUGUUCCAUUCAAAGCUGAAACCGGUCUUUGUCAAAAGGCCCUCCACAAAUCAGAGAUGAUUCAAAGGAAGACCGUUAGCUUUGUUCAAACUAAUGUAGGAAGAAAAGCAUUGGCGGAUAUCACCAAUUCUUGUCGAGUUUUUCAAAAGAAUGAAACUUCUGAUGGCUCCCGACCUGGGUAAGUGACAUUGAGCUUUUUUCUAUCUAAUCGGUUAUCUAAUUAUUCCGAUCUUGCUAUCUUAUAAAGCUAUCUCUACCUAUAAUAUAUUAUGGUUUGAAAUUUGAUAUGAUCCCACAUCAGCCAAGUAUGGGAUUGGUUGGUGGUUUA